CACGCAGCAGCACACUGCUCCCCUCCCCAUGCUCCCUAAGUGGGCCGAGGAAGCUGUUCUUUAUUUCUGUUUCUUGAUUUCAACAGAUGCAGAAAAAGAGGAGCUGUUCUUUGAAAGACAGCAUGGGUGGUGCAGAGGAUUUGGGGCUCAGGGAGAAGUGAGACCAAGGAAGUCACAAACAAGUAAUUUUCUUUUCCAUCAGCUCAUGUUUGCUAAGCUGCAGCCUGUCUCUGUCGUGCCGGUGUCCCCAGCGGGAGCCGGCCCUGGAGGGAGGCAGGUAUUGAGGAAGGCGUCACGCAGCAGGUGGCCCCUCCGCGGAGUUUUUCAAGAUGGUAGAAAUUAGGCAGGCCAAGAAAGGAAAGGGGUCUCUGGCAGACGGAGAUGAAGCAAACAUCCAGCUGUCUCCCUCCUCCCCUCGCCCUUCAGCGGGAGAGAUCUGGUCCUCCAAGCGGCCCCGGCCAGCCCUGGGUGGACUGUUAGUUCAUCACUGCAGUUGGUUGGCUGGACGCUGAAGUUCCAGGAAGGUUUCUGGGCCUGACCCUGGCUCCCUGCCUUGUCGGGUUCCCAUCUGGAGGGCAUGAGCAGGAGUGACGCUGGCCAAUCAAUCAGAUCUUCAGAUGCGAGUGGAUAUUGAAGGCUGGUAGGACCGGAAUAGGUGGAGGAGGAGCCCAGUGGUGGACGAAAGGGCCAGGACACACUGUCCUCUCCCCUGCCCUCAUCUGCCCUCCCUGUCAGGAGCUGCUUCCCCUGUCUGCUCCCCUCCUCCUGGGGAGGAGCUGGGGCCCAGAGCCCACACACUGUAUGCAGGAUUGCAGGACUGAGGCUGAGUGCAGGACUGCCGGCAUGAGGCAGGGGUGGAAAUGUCCAAAAUACCUGCAGCUGGGAGACACAUGCACGCGCUUUCUCCAUUCUUCCCAUUCUUACUUU
rnacentral:lncRNA from 1 species